rnacentral:misc_RNA from 1 species
CUAAGAAAUUGCCAAAUGGGUUGCCUUCGGUGCUGGCUCCUUGAAAGAGCAAGUGCACGUUGGUGGCUUUCAUCCAAUACCCCUGUGAACCUAGGCCUCUUGCUAGCUUCGGCUGGUGGAGGAUUUUUAUACAUACACACUCGAAUGUAAUGAAAAACUAUUGUCGUGCGCAAGCACUAAUGUACAACUUUCAACAACGGAUCUCUUGGCUCUCGCAUCGAUGAAGAACGCAGCGAAAUGCGAUAAGUAAUGUGAAUUGCAGAAUUCAGUGAAUCAUCGAAUCUUUGAACGCACCUUGCACCCUUUGGCAUUCCGAAGGGUAUGCUCGUUUGAGUGUCAUUGUACUCUCACACUCUCCAAUCCUUUGGGUUUGGGGAGCGGUGGACUUGGGUGCCUGCUGCUUUUCGUUGUGGCUCACCUUAAAUGCGUUAGUGCACCUCUUGGUUGGACAUAGUACGGCGUGAUAAGUGUCUUCGCCGGCACCUCGCAAGAGGGUGGUCAAUCUAGAGAGCUCUGUGCUUUCAAACCGUCUUCGGACAAUCUCUGACAACUUGACCUCAAAUCGAGUAGGACUACCCGCUGAACUUAAGCAUAUCAAUAAAGCGGAGGAAGUCUUGGUCAUUUACAGGAAGUAAGACUUAUCAUAACCUAAGGACGUCUUGGUCAUUUGAAAUGAAGAAAAAAUAAAAAUAAAUA